AGAGUUUGAUCCUGGCUCAGAACGUACGCUGGCGGCACGCCUAACACAUGCAAGUCGAACGAAGUAGCAAUACUUAGUGGCGGACGGGUGAGUAACAUGUAGGUAUCUGCCCUUUGGCCUGGAAUAACACGAGGAAACUUGUGCUAAUACCGGAUAAGUCUUUACGGAGAAAGCUUUAUGCACCAUUGGAUGAGCCUGCACUUGAUUAGUUUGUUGGUGGGGUAAUGGCCUACCAAGACUGUGAUCAAUAGCUGAUUUGAGAGGAUGAUCAGCCACAUUGGGACUGAGACACGGCCCAAACUCCUACGGGAGGCAGCAGUGGGGAAUCUUGCACAAUGGAGGAAACUCUGAUGCAGCGAUGCCGCGUGAGUGAAGAAGGCCCUUGGGUUGUAAAGCUCUUUCGUCGGGGAAGAGAAUGACUGUACCCGAAUAAGAAGGUCCGGCUAACUUCGUGCCAGCAGCCGCGGUAAUACGAAGGGACCUAGCGUAGUUCGGAAUUACUGGGCUUAAAGAGUUCGUAGGUGGUUGAAAAAGUUAGUGGUGAAAUCCCGGAGCUUAACUCUGGAACUGCCAUUAAAACUUUUCAGCUAGAGUAUGAUAGAGGAAAGCAGAAUUUCUAGUGUAGAGGUGAAAUUCGUAGAUAUUAGAAAGAAUACCAAUUGCGAAGGCAGCUUUCUGGAUCAUUACUGACACUGAGGAACGAAAGCAUGGGUAGCGAAGAGGAUUAGAUACCCUCGUAGUCCAUGCCGUAAACGAUGUGUGUUAGACGUUGGAAAUUUAUUUUCAGUGCCGCAGGGAAACCGAUAAACACACCGCCUGGGGAGUACGACCGCAAGGUUAAAACUCAAAUGAAUUGACGGGGACCCGCACAAGUAGUGGAGCAUGUGGUUUAAUUCGAAGAUACGCGCAGAACCUUACCAACACUUGACAUGUUCGUCGCGACUCUAAGAGAUUAGAGUUUUCGGUUCGGCCGGACGAAACACAGGUGCUGCAUGGCUGUCGUCAGCUCGUGUCGUGAGAUGUUGGGUUAAGUCUCGCAACGAGCGCAACCCUCACUUUUAGUUGCCAUCAUUAAGUUGGGCACUCUGAAAGAACUGCCAGUGAUAAGCUGGAGGAAGGUGGGGAUGACGUCAAGUCCUCAUGGCCCUUACGUGUUGGGCUACACACGUGCUACAAUGGUAUCUACAACAGGAAGCAAGACUGCGAAGUUAAGCAAAUCCCUAAAAGAUACCUCAGUUCGGAUUGCACUCUGCAACUCGAGUGCAUGAAGCUGGAAUUACUAGUAAUCGUGGAUCAGCGUGCCACGGUGAAUGCGUUCCCGGGUCUUGUACACACCGCCCGUCACACCAUGGGAGUUGGUUCUACCUUAAGGCAAGGUUUCAAACCCUUGACCACGGUAUAGUCAGCGACUGGGGUGAAGUCGUAACAAGGUAACC
rnacentral:rRNA from 1 species